rnacentral:rRNA from 1 species
GACGAACGCUGGCGGCGUGCUUAACACAUGCAAGUCGAACGGAAAGGCCCUGCUUUUGUGGGGUGCUCGAGUGGCGAACGGGUGAGUAACACGUGAGUAACCUGCCCUUGACUUUGGGAUAACUUCAGGAAACUGGGGCUAAUACCGUAUAGGAGCUCCUGCUGCAUGGUGGGGGUUGGAAAGUUUCGGCGGUUGGGGAUGGACUCGCGGCUUAUCAGCUUGUUGGUGGGGUAGUGGCUUACCAAGGCUUUGACGGGUAGCCGGCCUGAGAGGGUGACCGGCCACAUUGGGACUGAGAGACGGCCCAGACGCCUACGGGAGGCAGCAGUGGGGAAUAUUGCACAAUGGGCGGAAGCCUGAUGCAGCAACGCCGCGUGCGGGAUGACGGCCUUCGGGUUGUAAACCGCUUUCGCCUGUGACGAAGCGUGAGUGACGGUAAUGGGUAAAGAAGCACCGGCUAACUACGUG